UCUGACAUAUAAAUACUUGUUUCCUCCCUUUUUAGCAACUGAGGGGACAAUGAAAAUUUUCUUUUGAAGUUGGGAUUUGAGCUGAAUCUUGAAAGAAUCCAAGGAAACUAAGAAAUGAAUUUAAGGAGAGAAAUACCCUGGACAACUGGAGCAAAGGUUCAGAGCUUUAUCCAAUGUUCUGCCAGUUAUACUUAGAGGAGAGGGGAAUUUGACUCAGUGACCACUGGGGUAAGUCCCUCCUAUCCCUAAA
rnacentral:lncRNA from 1 species